UGGGCCCAUAGCUCAGUUAGUUAGAGCACACACUUGAUAAGCAUAAAAUCGAAAGUUCAAGUCUUCCCAGGCCCACCA
rnacentral:tRNA from 1 species